CUGCUUGGUGUGAAGCAAUCAGGAGGAUUUUGUCUUGUCAUGAUUCAGAAACACACAGACAAAAGCUGUUCUUCUGCUGGCUCUGGGACAUGUUGCUGGAGGAGCUCCCCAUGGUUUCUGCAAGCUCUAAUGAGCCGUUCCUUUUCCACAUGAGUUAUGGUGGCUUGCAGCUACCUUUGGCAGGGGAAGCACCAAUCCUGCAGACACAUAGUUCCCAAUUCAUCCCAAACCUGGCCUGUGCAGAUGACCAUCUCCUGUUGUAACCCCACCACACCGGGGGACAGGAGCUCCAGCACAAUGCCAAGGUCUACCAGCUGAUGUAACCAUUGUCACAUUUGGACUUAGGACUCAAGCUUCACCCCGCAGGAGCUGCUAACCUUUGCCUUUACGUCAAGAAGCAAAGAAGGCACUCAGCCGCCAUGUUACAUCGAUGCCAGUUACAGCUUGUGACUGGAAUGGGACGGAUCCCAUAUCCUUACCUUUGUGGCUGGGCACCAUUUGUUUCUAAUAAUUUCACUAACACUGAAGUUAACCUCUUGAGCACGUUCCAAAAUUUUCUUUCGCUUCUCUCUGAAUUAGUAGAUUAUUAUUUUUUAAUUAAGAAGUAAAUAAAUAAGCUUUUUGACUUCUAACUGAGGGCUUCAUGCUAAGAAGUGACUAAUUCCCCUCUGUGUUCACAGAAAAUAAAAGUGAAGCUUUUACCAUUACAGACAAAGAA